GAUCCUGGCUCAGGAUGAACGCUGGCGGCGUGCCUAACACAUGCAAGUCGAACGGGCCUUAGCGGCCGACAGGAGGGGCCUAGCCCCGACAGGAGGCGGCGAAGGGCCAGUGGCGGACGGGUGAGUAACGCGUGGGCAAUCUGCCCCGCACCGGGGGACAACAGGGGGAAACCCCUGCUAAUACCGCAUAAGCGCACGGGAUGGCAUCAUCCAGUGUGAAAAGCUCCGGCGGUGCGGGAUGAGCCCGCGUCCGAUUAGCUGGUUGGCGGUGCAGCGGACCACCAAGGCGACGAUCGGUAGCCGGCCUGAGAGGGCGGACGGCCACAUUGGGACUGAGACACGGCCCAGACUCCUGCGGGAGGCAGCAGUGGGGGAUAUUGCACAAUGGGGGGAACCCUGAUGCAGCGACGCCGCGUGGGUGAAGGAGCACCUCGGUGCGUAAAGCCCUAUCGACAGGGACGAUGAUGACGGUACCUGGGUAAGAAGCCCCGGCUAACUACGUGCC
rnacentral:rRNA from 1 species